UGUCUGCAGCAUGAAGCUGAUAUUUGUUUUAAUUUGCACUUUGUUCUGGCACUCUGCCAUCACAGAAGAUAAAAGCCUUAAGCUAAUAAUGAGCAUGUGCAAUUCUGGUCUAAUGAAAGGAAAAUGUGGGCUAACAACAUUUUACUAUAACAAAAAAACCAGGAGAUGCGUCCUCGUCGGCCCGAAAUUUGUCUGUGGAUAUUUUGUAAAUCAGGAGAAAUGCACACAAGUCUGCAGAUAUCUAAUUAAAGGUUAUUAAUUGGAUGCCAAGCGAUAGAAAUGACGAAAGAAAUCACAUAUCUCUUUUGGUAUUUUGUGCAGCAUAAUAAAAAUAUUUUGUUUUGA